rnacentral:lncRNA from 1 species
AAGAUUUAAUGUGUAAUAAAAUGUUUAUGGAAUGCAUAAUUGUAUGACAUGUAAAUAUAUGUAAAAAUGUGAGAUUUAAACAAUAAAUAUAAAUAAGAGACAACGAAUAUAAAGACUAGAAAAAUUGUGGAAAUGUUGGCUACCUAAAACAUUCAAUCAAUUACAUUAUCUCACCUUGAAAUCUUAAAUGAUUUAGAAAAAAAUAUCCAUGGAUGUAUGACAAGUCAUUGUUUGACCAUUGAAGUUACAUUAAUGGAAAAGUUCACAAAUCUUUACACAUUAUGUAUUUAUUGAAGUCUGAAUAUAAUAAUAUGAUACGGUUAUCCAAUAAAAAAUAGGUCAUUUUUUAGUUUCAGUAUGAUGUCAUCAACAUGUUUACAAAACAAAUUGCCAUAUUUGACAUUAACAAUCAUUUUACUCUAAAAUGGGGAAUGUGUCAAAGAGACAACAACCUGACCAAAGAGCAGACAACUUUCAAGAAAUUACACAGAUUUGUGCAAGACAUCUUUAGACAAAAUAUAUAUUUGGUAUGGCUGUAGCUUUAAUCUAAAUAUCAAUAUUAAAUAUUAAUGACAAAAAUUUUAAAGGGAGAUUAUUUUGACAGUUUUCCUUCAUGACAAGAAGUUUAAAGACCUGUUAACAUGCUCAAUGUCAUUUAAAAAUUUAUAGCAGUUUUAUUUUCAAACUUAAGGGUAAAAAAAAAAAAAUUUAACACUUUCUUAAAUCCUACAAUAUUUUGGUUACUGUUAACUGACUAGUAGAAAAUUAACUUGAAUUUAAAUUGUUGUCAAAAUUUCUAACUUGGAUCUUCUCUUAUAUGGAAACCAAGUUAAGAAAUCUCAAAAAUAAAUCAUUGCAAAGUCGUAUCAAAAGUGCUAAAUGCAAAACUAUGUUGUUAUACAGUAUUGUUCUACAUAAAGCCAAUAUCAUUAUUCUAAAUCUGGGAGGUCUUGGGUUUGAAGUCAGAUUGGUCAUACCAAAGACUUUAAAAUUGAAAAUUGCUGCUUCUCCGCUAAGCAUGCAGCAUUAAGGAUGAAGAGCAAAGACUAGUCAGCUGAAGGGAUUGAAUAAUAUGCCUAGGUAGGGUGAUGCACAUCUUUCUGCAUCGUGUCAAAUUGUGAACUUGCACUUUUAAUUUCAGGCUCAGUAUGUUGGUCUAGUACAUAAAAGGGUUAAUAUUCAUAUUAUUUAAACAUGUUCUUGUCCUGUUUAUGCAUUCAAUUUGCUGCUGGACGUUUAUAAUAAGCAGCCUUCAAUAAUCAUUAUCAUUAUCAAAUCUAACUGAGAUGCAUAUUGGUUGAACACAUAAAAAACAAAAUAUACAAAAAAAAAUGUUUACAAUAAAUAAUAGAGCAUUUAAUAACAAAUUCAAGCUCAGAAAAUUUAAAUUUAAUACUUACAUGAUGAAUAUGCAUUCAGGCAGGGCGGAUGCAGGAAUUUUCGAAAGGGGGGGUGCUAACCCAGGGCACCCAGGGCAAAGGGGGGGUGCAAAACAUAUGUCCCGAUACAAAUGCAUUGAUCGGCAAAAAUAAAGGGGGUGUGCGCACCCCCGGAACCCCCCCCCCUGGAUCCGCCACUGCAUUCAGGCCUACUAAGUUUGUAAAGCUUUAAAUGUAUGUAGGGAGCAAACAUUUCCUUUUUUCCAAUAUGACACAAAGAAAUAAUAAAGAAUUUUCCAAUCAUUUUAAGACCUAUAUAUUUACCCAUUGAUUCUGAUGAAAAUGAGCAGUUUGGUUCAAAUAAGCUAGAAAUGAAACAGCAAAAUAUGAUAUAUUUCCCAUUCAUUAAGGACAAACUAUUUACCCGAUCAUGAUCAGAAAAUACCACAUAAAAAAAUGAAAAGUUUGGUAUUAUGCAACUAAAAUGUUUUUUGAAAAAAAAUCAGAAAUUGAGUCUUUAUGCAUGAUUAAACCUCUUACUGUAAAUUUAGAAAUGGUUGAGAGGUUUUUAUUAUGCAUCUGUGUGACUAUCACAAUAAUAAGAACUCACAUUCUGAUAUCUGAUACACAUAUUAUACACAGAUUUUCCUGAAAUCACAAUAAUCAAUUUUGCAGUAUUUUUGUCAAAUCUUCAAAAAUCACAAUAAUAAAUGCAUGCAAUAAUUUCUGUAACUUUAAUCCCAUUAUAAUACAAAAUAUGCUUUAAUAUGAUAUAAAAAUAUACAUUAUUUUUAAAUUUUUUUUAAAUAUGAUAAUAAAUACCUAGAUCAAAUAUAAAAAUAUAUUUUAUCAGACUGAUGUUGUGACAUGGCUAGACAAGAUACACAUUUUUACCUACUAAAACUGCAACACUUGUACUGUAUGUCUACCGUUUUACUUACUUACUACUCCCCCUCCCCAACAAAUGAGAAUUCUAUUAAACAGCAACUCUGCACCUCUUCUGUUUAAAUAUGGUCCCCAAUUCCAUCAAUGAGAUUUUCAAUUGUUUCCCCCCCCCCUAAUACAAAAUUGAUUUUCUAUGCCACCCUCCCCUUUUUCCAAAGAGAAAUAUACUCAAUAACAACACAACAUCUCUUGUGAUUUUACAUGCCCACCUCCACCCAAUGAGAAUACUUCAAAACAUCAACUCUUCAUCUCUACUGUUUUUGUAUGCCCCCGGCCACUCCCACCCCCACAAACAAAUGAGAAUUAUUCUAAACAGCAACACUGCAUCUCUUCUGUUUUUACAACAAAAAACUAACAUAAAGCAAUGUAAAUGUAUCAUAUGUGAAGCAAUCAUCUUUUCUGAUGGGAUUUAAUGUAACACCUCAAGGCAAAUUAUCACAUCAACUUUUUGAAUACUUUUUUAAUAAUACAAUAUUUGUUGAUCAAAAAAGACAAAAAAGAAUGAAUAUUAUUUUUUUUUUUGGUGACAAUGAACAUAAUGAACAGACCAGUGUGCUCAAAAACUAAGUUGUGAAAAAUAUGUAGAUUUUUUUUAAAUAUUGAACACUCUGAAAAUGGUUGUAUGGAAAGACCUUUUGAUUUUGUAUGGGGGAUAUAUACAAAUCAGCCUGUCUGUCUCUAUGUCUGCUCUGACAAUGAAUGUUUAUCAAGAUAAAAAUUGAAGUAACCACAACUUUAUAACAAACUAACAAACAGGAUACAGGACAUACUAACAAGAGGACAGAUAGAUGCAAAAACUAGAAAACAUAAUGCCCCCCCUUUUUUUUAAUGUAGACUGUAUGAAAAUGUGUAAUUAACAUAUUCAAAGGUAACAGUCAAUCACAUUUAACAACAGUUUCUUUUAAUAAUGAAAGACAAUAAAAGUCAAGCACUGACCAGCAGGUAACAUAAAACAAAGUAAAGCUAUCAGAAAAAUAAUGUUUAAAAAAUGUUAAAAAAAAAAAACACAAUUAAGUAUAGAGAUUCAGCAUGAUAGAAUAUGCCAUUUAUGAUAUUUACAUUUUGAUGUAUAACAGAAAAUUGUAUAUAUUGAGCCACAUCAUUUCUUUAAACUUAUUUCCCAGUAGAAAUAUCUUUUUCUUUUACUUUUCUUAUAUAGUGCUUAAAAUUAUUGGUUUUUAGAGUGGUAAAUACAAUUGGUUCUACAUAUACACGUUGUUUUUUCAAUUUUGAUUAAGUUCCAUCAUAUACCAUUUAAUGGCAAUAUUAGCAAUAUCACAAUGGUAACAAAACAAAUGACAAUGGGUAUUUUUUUGGUUUUAAAAUUUGGUUUUUGAAGUUCGAUAUUUGGUGGAUACUAAUUUUCGUGGAUUUUAUGGGGACAAGGGAACCACAAAUUUAAACGUCAAACGAAAUACAAGUUUUCUUAAGGAAUGUAUGCAGACUUUGCCAAAAUCAUGAAUUCAAAUAUCCACAAAUAUGCAAGUUUUCUUCAAUCCACGAAAUUGGUACCCAUAAAAAUAAAAUCCACAUUAUUUUACUUUGAUGUUAUUUAGUAAGCAUCUAUUAUGAGUACAAUUUGGGAAAGUUAUCUAUUUAGUAUUUUCCCCAGAUAUGACAUAGAUGCCAAAAAUGAACAUGCUUAAAAUAUCAAUAGGUUAACAAAACCCUAUACAUAACAUAAGUUUCACCCCAUUCAUCACAGACUAAAUACAUUUCUAAAUUGAAAUGCAAUACAAAUUUUAAUUUAAAAUUAAUAGCACUGCAAGUUAGGGA